rnacentral:rRNA from 1 species
GCGAAAUACGAUACGGGACUCAUCCGAGGCCCCGUAAUCGGAAUGAGUACACUCUAAACCCUUUAACGAGGAUCAAUUGGAGGGCAAGUCUGGUGCCAGCAGCCGCGGUAAUUCCAGCUCCAAUAGCGUAUAUUAAAGUUGUUGCGGUUAAAAAGCUCGUAGUCGAAUUUGUGUCCCGCGCCGCCGGUUCAUCGCUCGCGGUGUCAACUGGCGUGUCCGCGGGACGUCCUGCCGGUGGGCUUAGCUCCUCGCGGGCGGCCCAAUCUCAAUCCCACCGCGGUGCUCUUCACUGAGUGUCGAGGCGGGCCGGCACGUUUACUUUGAACAAAUUAGAGUGCUUAAAGCAGGCUAAAACAUCGCCUGAAUACUGUGUGCAUGGAAUAAUGGAAUAGGACCUCGGUUCUAUUUUGUUGGUUUUCGGAACCCCGAGGUAAUGAUUAAUAGGAACGGAUGGGGGCAUUCGUAUUGCGACGUUAGAGGUGAAAUUCUUGGAUCGUCGCAAGACGGACAGAAGCGAAAGCAUUUGCCAAAAACGCUUUCAUUGAUCAAGAACGAAAGUUAGAGGUUCGAAGGCGAUCAGAUACCGCCCUAGUUCUAACCAUAAACGAUGCCAGCUAGCGAUCCGCCGACGUUCCUCCGAUGACUCGGCGGGCAGCUUCCGGGAAACCAAAGCUUUUGGGUUCCGGGGGAAGUAUGGUUGCAAAGCUGAAACUUAAAGGAAUUGACGGAAGGGCACCACCAGGAGUGGAGCCUGCGGCUUAA